UCUAUUUAUAAGCACUAGCAACUGCAUCAAUCGCCAAUCGGUGCUUUUCAGAAGUUAAUGCUUAAGCUGUUCAUGAUGCACUUCCUCCAGAAUAGGAAUAAAUCCCUGCGAUGCUUCGCAAAAUGAAAUGGGCCCACAUGGUGCAUUUUCUCAAGCUCCAUGCCAUUUCCUAGGUGGACCUUAUUAGGCAAAAUCAUCAACCACCAUUCUCCAUAAUC
rnacentral:lncRNA from 1 species